rnacentral:rRNA from 1 species
CAACUCUAGAGAUAGAGCCUUCCCCUUCGGGGGACAAAGUGACAGGUGGUGCAUGGUUGUCGUCAGCUCGUGUCGUGAGAUGUUGGGUUAAGUCCCGCAACGAGCGCAACCCUUAAGCUUAGUUGCCAUCAUUAAGUUGGGCACUCUAAGAUGACUGCCGGUGACAAACCGGAGGAAGGUGGGGAUGACGUCAAAUCAUCAUGCCCCUUAUGAUUUGGGCUACACACGUGCUACAAUGGACAAUACAAAGGGCAGCGAAACCGCGAGGUCAAGCAAAUCCCAUAAAGUUGUUCUCAGUUCGGAUUGUAGUCUGCAACUCGACUACAUGAAGCUGGAAUCGCUAGUAAUCGUAGAUCAGCAUGCUACGGUGAAUACGUUCCCGGGUCUUGUACACACCGCCCGUCACACCACGAGAGUUUGUAACACCCGAAGCCGGUGGAGUAACCUUUUAGGAGCUAGCCGUCGAAGGUGGGACAAAUGAUUGGGGUGAAGUCGUAACAAGGUAGCCGUAUCGGAAGGUGCGGCUGGAUCACCUCCUUUCUAAGGA